GCCUUCGUGGUGUAGUGGUCAGCCCGCUGGGCGCCUAAACCAAGAAGUCCGUGGUUCGAUUCCGGGCGAAGGCG
rnacentral:tRNA from 1 species